UACGUAGGUGGCAAGCGUUGUCCGGAUUUACUGGGCGUAAAGAGCGCGCAGGCGGUCGUUCAAGUCGCGUGUGAAAGCCCCCGGCUCAACUGGGGAGGGUCACGCGAUACUGAUCGACUCGAAGGCAGGAGAGGGUAGUGGAAUUCCCGGUGUAGUGGUGAAAUGCGUAGAUAUCGGGAGGAACACCAGUGGCGAAGGCGGCAUCCUGGACCAACACUGACGCUGAGUGAGCGAAAGCCAGGGGAGCAAACGGG
rnacentral:rRNA from 1 species